rnacentral:rRNA from 1 species
CCUACGGGCGGCAGCAGUGGGGAAUAUUGGACAAUGGGGGGAACCCUGAUCCAGCCAUGCCGCGUGUGUGAAGAAGGCCCUCGGGUUGUAAAGCACUUUCAGUGAGGAAGAACGCCUGGUGGUUAAUACCCAUCAGGAAAGACAUCACUCACAGAAGAAGCACCGGCUAACUCCGUGCCAGCAGCCGCGGUAAUACGGAGGGUGCGAGCGUUAAUCGGAAUUACUGGGCGUAAAGCGCGCGUAGGUGGCUUGAUAAGCCGGUUGUGAAAGCCCCGGGCUCAACCUGGGAACGGCAUCCGGAACUGUCAAGCUAGAGUGCAGGAGAGGAAGGUAGAAUUCCCGGUGUAGCGGUGAAAUGCGCAGAGAUCGGGAGGAAUACCAGUGGCGAAGGCGGCCUUCUGGACUGACACUGACACUGAGGUGCGAAAGCGUGGGUAGCAAACAGGAUUAGAUACCCUAGUAGUC